rnacentral:tmRNA from 1 species
GGGGCUGUUUUUGGAUUCGACAAAAUUAUCAACAAAGUAAAGUGCAUGCCGAGGAACGGUUUGCCUCGAUAAAAACCGUAAAAAAAAUAGCUGCAAAUAAUAAAUAUAACUAUGCUUUAGCAGCCUAAAAAACUGUUUUAAAGCCUUUCCUCCUCAGCCUCCCUCUUAGGACGAGAACAAAGGAAAGUCAAAAAAAGAGAAAACAUGUUUAUCAAGCUUGACGAUGACAUGAACAAAAAAAUUACAAGCUAUAUAUCUAAAAUGUGUUUUUCCAAAUUAGAUAAUGAAAUAUAAUGCAGAAAAACUAAGCAUGUAGUGCUUUAUUCGUAGAAAUUUUGGACGCGGGUUCAAAUCCCGCCAGCUCCAA